UACGUAGGGUGCAAGCGUUAAUCGGAAUUACUGGGCGUAAAGCGUGCGCAGGCGGUUAUGUAAGACAGAUGUGAAAUGCCCGGGCUUAACCUGGGAACUGCAUUUGUGACUGCAUGGCUAGAGUUUGGCAGAGGGGGAUGGAAUUCCGCGUGUAGCAGUGAAAUGCGUAGAUAUGCGGAGGAACACCGAUGGCGAAGGCAAUCCCCUGGGCCUGCACUGACGCUCAUGCACGAAAGCGUGGGGAGCAAACAGG
rnacentral:rRNA from 1 species